rnacentral:rRNA from 2 species
AUUUGGACUGUUACUUUGAAAAAAUUAGAGUGUUUAAAGCAAGCUAACGCUUGAAUACAUUAGCAUGGAAUAAUGAAAUAGGACGGAUGAUCCUAUUUCGUUGGUUUCUAGGAUCGAUGUAAUGAUUAAUAGGGACAGUCGGGGGCAUCAGUAUUCAAUUGUCAGAGGUGAAAUUCUUGGAUUUAUUGAAGACUAAUUACUGCGAAAGCAUUUGCCAAGGAUGUUUUCAUUAAUCAGGAACGAAAGUUAGGGGAUCGAAGACGAUCAGAUACCGUCGUAGUCUUAACCAUAAACUAUGCCGACUAGGGAUCGGAUGAUGUUAAUUUUUUAAUGACUCAUUCGGCGCCUUACGGGAAAC